AGAGUUUGAUCCUGGCUCAGGACGAACGCUGGCGGCGCGCCUAACACAUGCAAGUCGAACGGAGUCAAGAGAAGCUUGCUUUUCUUGACUUAGUGGCGAACGGGUGAGUAACGCGUGAGUAACCUGCCCUGGAGUGGGGGACAACAGUUGGAAACGACUGCUAAUACCGCAUAAGCCCACGGCCCGGCAUCGGGCUGAGGGAAAAGGAUUUAUUCGCUUCAGGAUGGACUCGCGUCCAAUUAGCUAGUUGGUGAGGUAACGGCCCACCAAGGCGACGAUUGGUAGCCGGACUGAGAGGUUGAACGGCCACAUUGGGACUGAGACACGGCCCAGACUCCUACGGGAGGCAGCAGUGGGGGAUAUUGCACAAUGGGGGAAACCCUGAUGCAGCGACGCCGCGUGGAGGAAGAAGGUCUUCGGAUUGUAAACUCCUGUUGUUGAGGAAGAUAAUGACGGUACUCAACAAGGAAGUGACGGCUAACUACGUGCCAGCAGCCGCGGUAAAACGUAGGUCACAAGCGUUGUCCGGAAUUACUGGGUGUAAAGGGAGCGCAGGCGGGAAGACAAGUUGGAAGUGAAAUCCAUGGGCUCAACCCAUGAACUGCUUUCAAAACUGUUUUUCUUGAGUAGUGCAGAGGUAGGCGGAAUUCCCGGUGUAGCGGUGGAAUGCGUAGAUAUCGGGAGGAACACCAGUGGCGAAGGCGGCCUACUGGGCACCAACUGACGCUGAGGCUCGAAAGUGUGGGUAGCAAACAGGAUUAGAUACCCUGGUAGUCCACACCGUAAACGAUGAUUACUAGGUGUUGGAGGAUUGACCCCUUCAGUGCCGCAGUUAACACAAUAAGUAAUCCACCUGGGGAGUACGACCGCAAGGUUGAAACUCAAAGGAAUUGACGGGGGCCCGCACAA
rnacentral:rRNA from 1 species